AAUAAGUGCAGUCAUAGAUAUCCGUGUCCAACAUUUGACCGUCCAUUUUAUUUGAAAAAUUUGUGAAAAAUUUAAAAAUAUUUAGUUACACAUAAAGUACUAUUCAUAUUUUAUCAUAAUAAAAAUACUAAUCAUAAAAAAUUUUCAAAUAAGACGAACGGUCAAACGUUAAACAUGAAUAGUAUAAAACUGCACUUAUU
rnacentral:pre_miRNA from 1 species